UACGUAGGCAGCAAGCGUUGUUCGGAGUUACUGGGCGUAAAGAGUGCGUAGGGGGUGCCCUAAGUCUGUUGUGAAAUCUCCCGGCUUAACUGGGAGGGUGCGGUGGAAACUGGGGUGCUUGAGUGUGGGAGAGGUAAGCGGAAUUCCUGGUGUAGCGGUGAAAUGCGUAGAUAUCAGGAGGAACACCUAUGGCGAAGGCAGCUCGCUGGGACGUUACUGACGCUGAGACGCGAAAGCGUGGGGAGCAAACAGG
rnacentral:rRNA from 1 species